AACGCUGGCGGCGUGCUUAACACAUGCAAGUCGAACGAGUGAGCGUUAUUGCACUAAGUUAACUUUAGGUAGUUAAUUUAGUGCAAUAGUGCAAGCUAGUGGCGGACUGGUGAGUAACGCGUGAGCAACCUACCUUUAACAGGGGGAUAACACUUAGAAAUAGGUGCUAAUACCGCAUAACAUUGAGAAGUGGCAUCACUAUUCAAUCAAAGAUUUAUCGGUUAGAGAUGGGCUCGCGUAUCAUUAGCUAGUUGGUGAGGUAACGGCCCACCAAGGCGACGAUGAUUAGCCGAUCUGAGAGGAUGACCGGCCACACUGGGACUGAGAUACGGCCCAGACUCCUACGGGAGGCAGCAGUGGGGAAUAUUGGGCAAUGGAGGCAACUCCUGACCCAGCAACGCCGCGUGAAGGAAGAAGGCCCUCUGGGUUGUAAACUUCUUUUGUAUAGGAAAAAGAAGUGAUGGUACUAUACGAAUAAGCUACGGCAAACUACGUGCCAGCCGCAGC
rnacentral:rRNA from 1 species